AUAGCUUAAUCUAUCAAUAAAAUUUUAAAAAAAACAACUAGGAGUAUGAUAGGAUUAAGGCUUAGUUUGGUAUUGAGAUCCAUCUGAUACUAUUAAAUAAAAUAGAGUUCGAAUAAAAGCAUAUAGCGAUAUGCUUCUGCGUUCUCCGGUGGGACCGUAGACUUCUGCGUUCUCUGGUGGGACCGUAGAAAUUAUAUCGUAAUCGACUCAUCGCGAUAUGCGGAACAUAAUAUUACGUACGAAAACAAAUAUGAUAUUUUUUCAUCGUACUUUCUUACCGCACGUAAUGCAAUGUCCCCGGGUUUCGUUUGGAAUCGCGUUACGUGCGGUGAGAAAGUACGUUGGAAAAAUAUCUUGUUUAUUUUACGAUAAUGUCCCCGGGUUUCGUUUGGAAUCGCGUUACGUGCGGUGAGAAAGUACGUUGGAAAAAUAUCUUGUUUAUUUUACGAUGAGUCGAUUGUGAUAUAUGUUUUGUAGUCCCAUCGGAGAAUGCACAACCAUAUUUGUAGAUGUUUUUAUCCUAACUUUAUUUUAUCUAAUAGCGUCAUAUAAAUCUCAAUACCAAACCAAACCUAAAACUCACGAUCAAACUUUUUAUUCUGAUGUCACGUAAAAUGAUCGUUUAUUUUAAACUAGAAACUAUGCCUAACAAUAAU
rnacentral:lncRNA from 1 species